ACCUUAAAACUAGCCUAAUUAACCCCUAAACAUAACACUAUUAAUUACCCCACCUUUUACUGUAAAAUUAAAACAUUUUAAACCUUCUAGUAUGGGUGACAGAACCAAGAUUUAAGCGCAAUAAACUAUGUACCGCAAGGGAAAGUUGAAAAAGAAAUGAAAUAACCAUUAAAGUAACACAAAGCAGAGACUCAAUCUCGUACCUUUUGCAUCAUGAUUUAGCAAGAUCAACUAGGCAAAGAGACCUUAAGUCUAUUUUCCCGAAACUAAACGAGCUACUCCGAAGCAGCAUAUUAGAGCCAACCCGUCUCUGUGGCAAAAGAGUGGGAAGACUUCCGAGUAGCGGUGACAAACCUACCGAGUUUAGUGAUAGCUGGUUACCCAAGAAAAGAACUUAAAUUCUGCAUUAAUUUUUUAAAAUUAUCAACCAAGAAAAAUCACCUUAAGAUAAAAAAUAAGAAUUAAUAGUUAUUUAGAAGAGGUACAGCCCUUCUAAAUUAAGACACAACUUUUAAAGGUGGGUAAUGAUCAUAUUCAUUAAAGGAUUCUUCCCCAGUAGGCCUAAGAGCAGCCAUCUGAAAAGUAAGCGUCACAGCUCCAGCCCCCAUUAAUCCUAUAAUUUUGAUAUUAUCUCAAAACCCCCUUGUUUUUAUUGGGUUUUUUUAUAAAAAUAAAAAGAACUUAUGCUAAAAUGAGUAAUAUGAGGCCAACCCUCUCCUUAACACAAGUAUAAAUCAGAAAGAAUUAAAUCCCUGAUAAUUAACGGACCCAGACUGAGGGCAUAAUAAUGAUUUAUCAUUAACUAGAAAAUCUUAUUUAAUUUACCCGUUAACCCUACACAGGAGUGUUUUAAAGGAAAGAUUAAAAGAAAAUAAAGGAACUCGGCAAACAUAAACUCCGCCUGUUUACCAAAAACACCGCCUCUUGAUUACUAUAAGAGGUCCCGCCUGCCCUGUGACAAUGUUUAACGGCCGCGGUAUUUUGACCGUGCGAAGGUAGCGUAAUCACUUGUCUUUUAAAUGAAGACCUGUAUGAAAGGCAUCACGAGAGUUUAACUGUCUCUAUUUUCUAAUCAAUGAAAUUGAUUUUCCCGUGAAGAAGCGGGAAUAAUACCAUUAGACGAGAAGACCCUAUGGAGCUUCAAACACUUAGAUUAAUUUUGCAAAAUAUUUUUUACCCCAAGGGCUAAACCACAUAUAAUAUUUUUAAUUUAACUGUUUUUGGUUGGGGUGACCAAGGGGAAAAACAAAUCCCCCUUAUCGAUUGAGUACUAAGUACUUAAAAACUAAAGCGACAGCUUUAGUUGAUAAAAUAUUUAUCGAACAAUGACCCAGGACUUACUGAUCAAUGAACCAAGUUACCCUAGGGAUAACAGCGCAAUCCUUUCCAAGAGUCCCUAUCGCCGAAAGGGUUUACGACCUCGAUGUUGGAUCAGGACAUCCUAAUGGUGUAACCGUUAUUAAGGGUUCGUUUGUUCAACGAUUAAUAGUCCUACGUGAUCUGAGUUCAGACCGGAGAAAUCCAGGUCAGUUUCUAUCUAUGAAUUAAUUUUUCCUAGUACGAAAGGACCGGAAAAAUGGAGCCUAUGCCUUAGGCACGCUCCUUUUUCACCUACUGAAACAAACUAAAUUAGGUAAGAAAAUAUUACCUAAAACCCAAGACAAGGGUU
rnacentral:rRNA from 1 species